AAGAUUAAACUAUGCAUGUCUAAGCACGCAAGAAUUAAAAGUGAGUUCGCAAAAGGGUUAUUUUAUCAGUUUUGGUUCUUUAGAUCUAUAACAGUUAGAUGGGUAACUGUGGUAUUUCUAGAUCUAGUACAUGCAAUAUAAACACGGACCAAUGGAAUUUGUGCUUUUUUUAGACUAAAACCAAACGACCUUUUUUAUCGCAUAUUCUUCGAACUCUAAACAACUUACAGAUCGUAUGAUUUUGUAUCGAUAACGGAUCUUUCAAAUGCCUACCCUAUUAAGUUUUGAUGGUCGUAUUUAGGACUACCACGGUUGCAACGGGUAAAAAAGAAUCAGGGUUCGAUUUCGAAGAGGGAGCCUGAGAAACGGCAACCACAUCGAAGGAAGGCAGCAGAUCCGUAAACCACCUAUUGAAAGAAGGGGGUG
rnacentral:ncRNA from 1 species